AAAAAAUGAUUGUUUAUCUGAAAUUCAAAUUUAACUGAGUGUCCCACAUUUUGUCUGUCAACCCUACCUAUGACCUUCCCUAUCUCUCUUCCUCUCCUUCCUUCCAUCCUUCCUUCCUUUCUCCCUCCCUCAUUUCCUUCCUUGCUUCCUUCUAAAAAGCCUUUGUUUUGAGCCCACUGUCUGCAGAGUCCUUUACUAGGAACAAAUCAAGUAUAAUGCUUUCCUUCAAGGUGUUCACUGCAUAGAGCAGGAGACAAACUGGUAACCACUGCCUUUCACCCAGUGGGAUUCAUCCCCAUCCUAAUACACGUUCAGACGAACCAUUUGGGGGCCACAGAGGAAGGAAUAAUUAAUUCUGUACGGGGUGGAGCCAGAUGAGGUGGAAAAGAGGAAAAGAGCUUGGGAAAAGGCUUAGGGAUGGUGGCUCUUGGCCUUGACCUUGACGGAUAGGUAUGAAGCAAUGGGAGGCAAUGGAGGUGUCACUGUGGCCGGGUUGGUGAGGCAGGAGCUGUGUGUGUGUGUCUGUGGGGGUGCUAGUGGCGCUGAUGUCAGGAGGAAACCAGAAAGGUUGUUUGGAGUCGAGAUGCUGAGGAGUUGGGGCUUUCUCUGAUGGGUCUUGAGAGACUGACUAUACAAAUGGACCUUGGCCAGACCAGAGAUGAUGGUAGAACUCUAACCACAACCUGUGAAGCAACCUGUCCAGGAAGCCAAACGACAGCGUCUGCAGCCAUCUGCCCAGAAAGUUCAGGACUCGGUCAAUGCCUGCCAGUUUCCCUAUUGUUUUGUCCCUGCUUCCAACUCAGGACCAAGCACACAAGAAGCCCCAUUUCCAGAUGCCCUCCUCCAGCUUCCCCAGGCAGGGCACACUUGAAGACUUCCUUUUUCUUCGCUGUAAUGCUUCCCCACUCCCCCGCCUGCCUUUGAAUUUCUGCUCUAAAUAAACAGCUGGUUUGUUCUCACUGAAAGUGGCCUUCAUUUAUGUCCUGAGUGUAGUCUAUGAUAUUGCUUUUUAAGACAGGGAGAGGGGCAAUGGGAGUAGCUCGCUCUGUGGAAACUCAUACGCUGAUACCUGGUGUCAUGACAACCACAGAUGCUGGUAGCAUUUGGAGCUGGAAAAAUCUGCUUUGUGAGGCCCUUUGCAAUCCAUACACACACAUGCAAUUUUUCAAUGUUUAUAUUCACCUGCAGAUCCCCAAAUUCUUUUAUAUUCUAAAGAAAGGCUUCGAAUCUUUAAAGUGAAGUUUAAAAACAGGAGUAUUGUUACCCUUAAUUUUCUUUUUGAAUCAUUAUUUUGUUUCCCCUUGUGGUAGAUUGCAUCACUGACUCCAAUUUGUCACCCUUCCUUGUACCCACACCCUCAGCCGUUGGACUCGGCAGCACCUCCCACUAAAUGGGUGGAGCCCCUUGAUGUUGAGUUUGGCCAUGGGACCUGCUUUGGCCAAUGGGAGAUCAGCAGAUAUGAUGCAAGCAGAGGCUUGAAACAGGCUCACUCACUGGGGUUUGGGCUCCUGCUCCUCUGCCAUCUCCAUGAGAAGAACAUGCUCAAGAGAGCCUGCUGGAUACAGGAGUGGGAUCCAUGCCUCCUGCCAUUCUUUCCUGCUGGGAGAGCCCUGACUUCUUUUCAGGAGUUCACCCUCUGCCCAGCCCAGACAAGAGCUCAGGGAAGGUGUCCUCUUCAACCGCAGGGAGCGAGUCUUGACUAAUCGAAGCCAAUUCCUCUAGACUUUUGGAGCUGCUGCUGCCAUUUUGGAACCAUGAGGGGAGCUGACAACGGGACAGGCUAACAUUCUGAGGAGGACAGAUGAGGAAGAUCCUGAGUCCCAGAUGUCGCUGAGGAGCCGUCCCCUCGUGAGCCUUGGAGCUGCCCUAUCUCGGGGCUGCUUGUUACACAUCCUCGUUGUUCAGGCCGUGUUUCCUCACAGUUUCUGUUCCUUACAGCUCAACUCUUCCUGCCUGAUCCGGAUGCUUCCUCAGAAGAGGAAAAUCCAAGUUAAAGAGAAGGAUGCAGCUGGUCCCAGGACCGCCCUUGGAAUAGCAAGUCUGUAGGAGACUUGGAGCUCCUGCCUGUCUUACAGAAGAGGAGGGUGAGUCCCACGAGGGGCUGCUCCAAGCCCACAGAGAUCCAGAAAGCUGCUGAGAGAGGCAGCACAGAACCCAGCCGUCCCGGUGGAGUUCAAUGAGAGAUUAACUUUUCCAUCCUCAUCAGAAACAACCAUGUGAAGUGUAUCUAUGCAUUGCGAGUUCCUUUCCCUCACCCCGAGAGCCAGCGCCCCAUUUCCUGAAUGAGGUAAGUUUUAUUCCUGACUCUCAGACGGGAGGAAGAGAUGGACAAUGUCAAGAACAAGGGCAUUAAACUAAAAUGAGUGGUGUUCUACUGGGGGAGAAGUGGAAACACAUUACCUCAGGGCCCGUGGCAUAAAACAUAGCGUAGAAGGAGCAGCCAGGGUUUAAGAAAUCAGGAGAGUAUGCAGAAAUAGUCAUUGCUUUGCCAACGUGAGGGAAAUACACACAACUCACUCCUCUUUGGGGCGGCAUCCAGGCUGACGCGGCUCCACUAUGUGGCAAACUGAGAUGGGUCCUUUGGCUUUUCCAAGUCUAUCCCAGAGUUAUUCCUUACUUAAGAGGACAUGUCCAACACAUCCCACCGUCUGGGGCACUGCCCAAAUGCCAUCACAUUUACCAUCACUGUGGGUUCUAAUUUUUCCCCACACCUGACCUUUGCUCUCAUUUGACUCAUCCCAAAGCCCAGUCCUUGCUCCUGGUACAGCCAGAAAGGAACUAACUAAAGAAAACAUACAGUGCCCCUCUUCAAGGAAAGCGCUAGAAACUCCCGGCUCCUGAAUGCAAUCCUUUAGAGAAGGCGUGACUCAAGCCUAAAUAAGAUCUGAUGCUUAACAAUCUUCCGUCACCCACAAGCCCUCUUGGUGUCAGCAAAGGUUUUCCCAUCAGCCGCUGGAAGGAAUAAGAAAAGGAAGCAAAUCAAACUGCCGAGUGUCGCUUAGCCCCAAAUGGCGACAAGAGCCCAGAGGGGCAAGUGCCUGGAGAAAAUAUUUCAAUUCUUCUGCAUCAUGACAAUAAUUAUUCCAGCAAUUCUUUUUAUUUUCUAUCAAAGCACAACCAGUAAACUCUCACAGGUCUCUGUGCUGUUUGCUGGAAGUAAAGGACAAGACAAAUCGCUCUCAUCCUCAGAGAGUUGAGAAUCCAUAGGAGGAGGAAGAAAUGAUACAAAGACUAGGAAACAAGGUGAAGAGCAGCUCCUGCAGUCCAAAGGGCAGCAGAAUUGCUGAGGGAGGGGAGCAUGAGCCCUGGUAGAGCACCACCCUCUGGGCAAUUUUCAUAGUUAGUUUUGUGGUCCUGGAUUCUCCACUCCCCUAGGGAUAUCUUGAAUAUGAAACAAGUUGUCUACCUUAAAGAAUAAAUGAACAGGAAAUACUGUG